AAAUGAAUAGACGGGGGCCCGCACAAGCGGCGGAGCAUGCGGAUUAAUUCGAUGCAACGCGAAGAACCUUACCAAGGCUUGACAUGAGAGGUAAUCCGGCAGAGAUGUCGGGUCCGUAAGGGCCUCUCACAGGUGGUGCAUGGUUGUCGUCAGCUCGUGUCGUGAGAUGUUGGGUUAAGUCCCGCAACGAGCGCAACCCUUGUUCUAUGUUGCCAGCGCGUAAUGGCGGGGACUCAUAGGAGACUGCCGGGGUCAACUCGGAGGAAGGUAGGGAUGAGGUCAAAUCAUCAUGCCCCUUAUGUCUUGGGCUUCACGCAUGCUACAAUGGCCAGUACAAAGGGCUGCGAGACCGUAAGGUGGAGCGAAUCCCAAAAAGCUGGUCUCAGUUCGGAUCGGGGUCUGCAACUCGACCCCGUGAAGUCGGAGUCGCUAGUAAUCGCAGAUCAGCAACGCUGCGGUGAAUACGUUCCCGGGCCUUGUACACACCGCCCGU
rnacentral:rRNA from 1 species